rnacentral:lncRNA from 1 species
CUUACCUGGUGCGGCCAGGGACUGGAGUUAGGGCGCUACCCUCGUGGGUUUCAGUGCUGGAGGAGGCCAGAAGAGGGCGCUGGAUCUCCUGGGACUUGAAUUAAAGUUGAUUGUGAGCCAUAGUGUGGGCAUUGGGGAUCAAGCCCCCAUCCACUGGAAGAGCAGCCAGGACUCUUAAACAUUGAGCAGUUUCUCCAGCCAGUGAGGAUCCCAUCUACUCUUCUGAGAAAGCUAUCGGGUAGUAGUAUGGGAUAGGACCUGCCGCAGUCCCCAAAGAUACCAGAUGGAAGGCAAGAAAUGACGCUGAGGCUGAUGACAAAGAUAAUUUAAUGCAGAUGAAGUGAAUAGUCUCUAUGUAUUCCUUUCAACUCAGCUGUUUCUGAUGCUCGGAAGCUGUUCUUUCAUCCACAAAGAUGGUAAUAAAUCUUUGCCUCCCUCAGUUCAGACCAAGAAUUCACUGCAACAAGAGCUUCCAAGGAGUGCUGGCCCAGAGUGUGCCUCCUGCAGACGAGUGUUUUCUUCCUACACCACCAAUGAGCCUGUGUACCAGCUGCCCUGUGGCCACCUUCUGUGCCGACCCUGCCUGAGUGAGAAGCAACGUUCCCAGCCCAUGAUGUGCACAGCCUGCCAGCAGCCGGUCACCAGCCAGGAUGUGCUGCGGGUCCAUUUUUGAGUGAUGAGCCUCAACUGAUUAAACCCCAUUUGGGAGGGAGACUGAAGAUGAAGGAAGCAGGAACAGGGUCCCAGUGCCUCUGUUCUCUCCUGGGCUUGAAUACCUCAUGGUGUGUUAUGGGGACUGGGUAGGGACACCCUACUCCUGCUUAGGCAACAACAGGAUGACAAAGCCAUAGGGCUGGGCUGGGGAAAACACCCUCUUCUCCUUGGCCUACCUUGCCACUACCCAACCAGAGCCAGCCCCAACUGUUCAGGAGCACUCCCUGAUGUCCCCAUGUUUUCUGCAUACAACCUUCUAAUGGAGUUUUGUGACUUGGGACCUCACACAGCCUUCUCUGCCUCAGGGUCACUCAGAAGUGGACCAUGGUAGCGGCUGUUAAGCACAUGACUUAGCCGUGUGUACCCCCACCCCUGCAGACACUUGCAGCCUUAAUAAAGUGACAGUUGACGUUC